AAUCAAUGUUAUUCUUUUUUAUUUUUAACUUGGUAAUUACUGGUAUUUAUGGGCUAACUGAAUGUAUGAAUCUUCCAGCCUUUUUGUAUUUUGGAUAGUUCACUAUGAGGGACAAAUCAUCUUGAUAAAGGAUGAAGUUCUUUGCUUUUCUGUAACUCUCAUUUCCUCUUUUUCAUAACAUUAUUGAAAAUAUCAUAUUUUCUGCAUUUUCUAACUCUGAAUCAGUAUUAGGCUGGUGGGCUAGCUCCUUGCCCAUUCUUUCAACAUAUUAUUACUACUACUAUUGCCACUACUUCAAUUAUUUGCUAUUAGUGGCCUUUUUUCUAUCUUCUCUCUCCAUUUCUUCCCAGUACAUCAAAUGCUGUUCUGAGGUCAGUGCAUCUAUGUACAUUGGAAGAGCAUUAAUAUCUAUAGGGCAGCCCAGGUUCUGGGAACCUGGCCACAUCAUCUUACGUAUACUGUAUCUAUUCAUCCUCAGAAUAGACCUCCUUAGCAGCUAUUAUUACUCCAUAUGACAAUGGGGAAACUGAGCCUGGGAGCUUGAGGAACUUGUCAGAAGACACACAGCUAGGAAGUGGCAGAGAGCAAGUGUCUGACUCCAAAGUCCACGCUCUUUCUACUUUUCAUAAUGGUUGCAUCCCAGCUCUAAAAUUUGUUUAUUUCUUCUUUCACAUACUCCGUCUUUUCAGAAAGGAUUUGAUAGAGAUGACACAUUUGUUAUUGUUCCUAAGCUCUGGCUUCUGCCUCCAUACUGCUUAAGCCCAGGAGAUUGAGGAGGAUGGCGUGGGCUGGAGGUGGACUGUGCGAGAAAGCUCUUCCUGUCACCAGAACCCUUGCUUGUCACCAAGUGGCCCACUUGCAACAGACUCCAGGAUGUCCCAGCCAGGGGAGUGUUGGAGUUGUUUGUGAUCGGGUGAUCCCAGGCUUAGCUUGCUGGGAAUGAGACAACCAGGUGAAAUGUGGACCCUGGAGAAACUCCAACCAGCCUGCCCACUGAAGUGGACCCUCAGGUAGUUGGUACCCUUUGCAGCGGGGAGAAGCUUGGCCCCUCCUCUUCCUGUGUGGAAGCUGGGAUUCAAAUGGCAGGAGGUAAGUGCUCUAACAGGGGACUCUGGCCUUGCAGAGGAUCCCUGUUUCCCCUUUUUUCUCCCUCUUUCACCCAAUAAAACCAUGCUUUACCCACCCUUUAAACCAUUUGCAAGCCUAAAUUUUUGUGGCUGUGGGACAGACAGGAACUCUGUCUUUAGCUGAACUAAGGAAAAGUCCUGCAACAGCAUGAUGCUGGUGUGUCCAGAAUUGGUUCCUGCCGGUGGGAUCGUGGUCUCACUGACUUCAAGAACGAAGCCGCAGACCUUGGCGGUGAGUGUUAUAGCUCUUAAAGAUGGCAUGGACCCAAAGAGUGAGUGGUAGCAAGGUUUAUUGUGAAGUGUGAAAGGACAAAACUUCUACGGCAUGGAAGGGGACCCGAGCAGGUUGCUGCUUCUGGCUGGGGUGGCCAACUUUUAUUCCCUUAUUGUCCCCUUCCAUGUUCCAUUUCUGUCCUAUCACAGUGCCCUUUUUUCAAUCCUCCCCGCAAUUGGCUACUUUUAUAAUCCUGCUUAUUGGUGCAUUUUACAGAGUGCUGAUUGGUGUGUUUUACAAUCCUCGUGUAAGACAGGAAAGUUCCCCAAAUCCCCACACAACCCAAGAAGUCCAGCUGGCCUCACCUCUCACUGACAUCUUCUCGGGAGCCCUCAAGAAGCUUUCAUGGUGGAAGGCAAAGGGGAAGCCAGCACGUCUUCCACGGCCAGAGCCGGAGCAAGAGAGAGACAGAGGAGAUGCCCCACACUAUUUAAAUGAACAGAUCUCAUGAGAACUCACUCACUAUCACAAGAACAUCAGCAAGGGGGAAAUCUGCCCCAUGAGCCAAUCACCUCCCACCAGGCCCCACUUCCAAUAUUGAAGAUUACAAUUCAACAUGUGAUUUGGGCAGGGACACACAUCCAAGCCAUAUCAAUAACUCAACUAAUCCAAACUGGAGGGGCAAACAAGCAGCUGGGGCCCUACACUGAUCCUCAGUUGCCCAACUUCUUUGGGCUUUGAUAAAAACAGAUGCAUUUCUGACAUCAUAUUUUUUUUUAAUUAAGAUUUUCUAGAGAGACAGGGUCUCAUGAUAUUGUUUAGGCUGGUCUCUAGCUCCUGGCCUCAAGCAAUUCUUCCACGUUGGCCUCCCAAAGUGCUGGGAUUACAAACGUGAGCCACUGUGCCUGGCCUGUCAUCAUAAUUUAAAUGGAGAAAACAUUAUUUUAAAUCACUUGGUCCUGAAAAAUCUUAAUGGUUUGGUUGAUUAUAUACAAAUAUAUGCUUGUGCAUUCUUUGUGCUAUUUCUAGUAGUUUUGCUUACAGGUUUAUUUCAUACAGCUGUUAGUGUCAUUUUUCCAGUACUAAAAAAUAUCCUAACAGCAGUAAUACACCACACAAUUAAAAUGACCACACACACACACACACAGACACGCACAGGCACAUAUCUCUCUAUUGUUAAUGGUCUAGUAGUCAGAUUCAAAAUGGAGAAAUUUGUUGUAAAGAUAUUAACACACAAUGGUCUUUAUAGAUCAUUGCUUCCAAAGAUGCACUAAAAGUUGAAAUUGUGUUCAUUUUCUGGGAAAAUUAAUAUGUAACAUUCUGAAAGUCUGCAUCUUUCAUUGGUCCUUCUAAUAGGCUCACGGUUUCAUUUCCUUUGUUUUGCUCAAGUCAGUAAUGCAAAUGUUAAGCUCCCUCUAUUAGUGCCCCUUAAAAGUAAGUUGAUACUUUGGAGCUCUUAAGUGGACCUAAAUGGUUUUUCAGGCAUUAUCAUUUCUGUUUUCCACUAGCCAGGGAGACCCUAAGGGUGGGGAGACAUGGCUUCUUUGUAACCCUCACAAUGCCCGUACAGUCCAUUAUGGGCUUAGUAGGAUUUUUUGUUAUUAACUUGGGAAUGCCGUAGUUGUCUGUAGAAGUGAACAGGAAAUAAACAUUGUCUACAUGUGGAAAUGAUGCAAAUUUUAAACUCUUAUAGUACACUUUUCAAGCCAAUUUUAAGUUGAGACUCAGAGUGUAGAAAAGUAAGCCUUCUAUAAUGUAUCUCUGAGCAGGGCCAUUUUACUUAAAAUUAGUGAAGUUGUCUCCUUGACCUGUUGAAGACUCAAUGAAAAUAAAUUAGAGCUGAGCUUUAAACCAUUCAUUCCUUCCCACUUCCCAUGUUUCUAAUUGUUUUGGGUCCUGAUUUAGAGAAAGCCAAUAAAAUAUUAUGGCUUUCUAAGCUAUCAAUUAAUGGACAAUUUAGAAAAUGCUUAUGGGUUGUCUUCCAUCUCCAAACUUGGUGGAGCAAAUUGAAAUGGAUGACUCAUGUCUAGGGGAUCAAGCAUGUUAAAUCAAUGAACAUGUUUGCUUGAAUCUCAUCUCCUAAUGAGCUGAAACAGAUAGAACAUUUCUCAUGCAUCCAGAUGGAAUUAUUUUGGAAAGUAAACUAAUGCACAUGCCCACACAAAAUUCCUCUGCUAUCUCUAGCCAGAUUCUGUUAGCUGUUCACCAAGAUGAUUUACCAACAAUAUGAGGUUGGGCUGCUUCUUUAUAUUAUUGGCUCCACAGGAAUUCUUCCAGAAGACAAUAUUUUUUCUAUUUUGUUUUGUUCAAUUUAAUAAUAUCAUGUACAAUAUUUUCUAGAUGCUGUGAGUUUGUAUGUGUAUCUUGAAUGUGGGGGAGGUUUAGGUUUUAUGACAGUAAGUGGAAUUCACUUAUUAAGGUUAUUUGACUUAGAAUUGAUUAUUUAUGCCAAUACUUGCUAAUAUUUAAAAUUAUUUCACUGUUCAUUGCCCUUACUAUGUAAAACUCUCUUGAAAGUCACUAAGAAAAAACAUAAACAACUCAAAAUAAAAAAGUAAAUUGGAAUAACUUUUGGAGGUCAGUUUUCCAAUGUGUAUCAAAAGCCCUAAAAAAUAUACUUCCCGUG
rnacentral:lncRNA from 1 species